AUAGUUGGAAGAUAAUUAUAAUUAACGAUACAUACAAAAUACACAAUAUACGGUAACAAUAAUCGAGCGGAGAAUUAGAUCUCCAUGUGGGAAGAACGCGUAAGGAUAUUUUUAACUGCGAGGUUGCUGCUCUUCCAUCUUUCAUCUAGUCCUAUUUUUUCUUUUUAAUUAUGCUCGUAAAGAUAUGCAUUUGGAUGAAAAUCCGCAGUCUAUUCGUCGUGGAUAAAUUACACGUCAAGAAAUAAGUCGGAAGAUCGAAGGAACUGUCGCGUCGUAGGAGCUGGCUUGGAAAAUCUUCAACUAGCCGGCACGGCGAUGCUCGAGGUCGUAAGAAAGUUGUUGGGCUGACGAGAACAGGUUAUAAACUGACGGUUCAGCCACGCUCAAGUACGCUGAUUUCACUUAAUUAGUAUCGACGUUGAAUAAACAGAAUAAGGCGAGGGGCUCGUGUUUAGCAAUUAGCGCUGUGAUGCUCGAGGUGCACGUGUCCCGCGUAUCGAUGCAGG
rnacentral:misc_RNA from 1 species